UUUUGGUUGUGCUGAUUAUUAUUUAAGCUCUGUUCAUGGUCGGAAUGGACGUCAAGUUAUACAGCGAUGUGAGGUUUUUUUAGAGCAGUGUUCAUCAUCAUGGCCUUGUCUGAACCUUCUCGUUCUUAACCCGAUCCAGUGCUCCUCCAGCUACCCUCUUCUAUAUAACUGCUUCACCAUCUUCAUCUUCAAUCUGUUUGAUUCCUCUAGCUCCAUGUGGAGGUGAGGAAUGUCAUCACCUUGAUCGAGUUAUUGUACAAAAUGGUUCUAGAUCCCCCGUUCCCGAUCACUGGUGCCGCUGAGAAGCUGCGCUUUCAAUUUGAGUAAUUGAAUAGUAAUGUGCCUUUGUGUGAAGACCUGGUGAUGGUGAGGAACUUGAUAAACAAAAUAGCAAACAUGGGUGGCCAAGAAAUAUUGUACCAAUUUUGGAACUCAUCACUUGAAGCCAUGAAUCAUCAUUCUCAUGAUUCUAGUACUGGAGUUGGAUAUCAAAUUGGAAGUGAUGGCUUAAGCUUCAUAGAGAAUCUGCUCAUGUUAUCAGACAACUCAUCUGCACCAACACGGUUUGAUUUGCUCUACAAUCAUUGGUGCCAACUUUGCCUGGCCAAGUAUGAAUCACAUGUUAAAUUGGGUGAAAGAGUACCACAGAUGGUAGGAACUGGUCAGAUCAAGUUGGGCAAACUCAUAAUGAGGCCAGAUGGUGACUUCACAUGGCAAAGCAAGAACUGCAGCAUAGAUUGUCUUCCAUAUAGAACCUCUUUGUGUAAUUUCACUCCUACAGAUCCAUCGAGUACUUCUCUGAGAGGGUCCUCACAGGUCUUUUGAUGAGUUUUUAUUCGGUGCCAUAUAAUCAUGGUCAUCAAUGUUCUUAGAUCUCUCACUUCGUAUGACCUUGUUGUCACUGAGAAGAGUUCCCCUUUGCAACUUCAAGUCAUUUGUGGUCAUUCUUGACCACACUACUGUCUGCCCCUAUUGUCCUGAUGAUCAAAAAUGUCAGAAGCAAUAUGAUGGGCAGACUUUUUACAUGUCAAUUUUAUAGCUUUUGUAGUAGUAAGCAAGAAUUUGUUUGAUUUUAUGCUUCAAUUUGCAAUAUAUUUUGUAUUUGCUUUGCAAUUUAGAGAGAGACUUUUCUUUUGAGUUCUGAGAUUCCUUCACUUCUGUAUUAUUAAAGUGUGUACUAUCAAUAAUUCUCUGUAUCUCAGUUGAACAUUCAAAAUAUAUUUACAGAAUGGGGUAACAA